rnacentral:lncRNA from 1 species
GCUUUAUAUGCAAAUUUCGGUAUAAAAAACUACUUUACACAGCUACCCUCCGUAUCAUUUAUAUAGAAUUGUAUUCCUCUCAUUGACUUAUACCAAAUACCAGUUUCUUAGUUAAAAUUAAUUGGUUUUAAAACUGUUAUUCAUCAAAAUAUAAAGUGUCGCUCGGGGUGUCAGAUUUUGCGUCGCAAGGGGUAGAGGCUUGUCAUAAAAAAAUACAUAUUUGCAUGUAAUUUAGUCUUCAUAUGAUACAUUUUAUUUCAAAC